rnacentral:rRNA from 1 species
GAUGAACGCUGGCGGCGUGCCUAAUACAUGCAAGUCGAGCGAACGGACGAGAAGCUUGCUUCUCUGAUGUUAGCGGCGGGCGGGUGAGUAACACGUGGAUAACCUACCUAUAAGACUGGGAUAACUUCGGGAAACCGUAGCUAAUACCGGAUAAUAUUUUGAACCGCAUGGUUCAAAAGUGAAAGACGGUCUUGCUGUCACUUAUAGAUGGAUCCGCGCUGCAUUAGCUAGUUGGUAAGGUAACGGCUUACCAAGGCAACGAUGCAUAGCCGACCUGAGAGGGUGAUCGGCCACACUGGAACUGAGACCCGUUCCAGACUCCUACGGGAGGCAGCAGUAGGGAAUCUUCCGCAAUGGGCGAAAGCCUGACGGAGCAACGCCGCGUGAGUGAUGAAGGUCUUCGGAUCGUAAAACUCUGUUAUUAGGGAAGAACAUAUGUGUAAGUAACUGUGCACAUCUUGACGGUACCUAAUCAGAAAGCCACGGCUAACUACGU